GAUGAACGCUGGCGGCGUGCUUAACACAUGCAAGUCGAACGGAAAGGCCCAAGCUUGCUUGGGUACUCGAGUGGCGAACGGGUGAGUAACACGUGGGUGAUCUGCCCUGCACUUCGGGAUAAGCCUGGGAAACUGGGUCUAAUACCGGAUAGGACCACAUUUUGGAUGGUGUGGUGGAAAGUUUUUCGGUGUGGGAUGAGCUCGCGGCCUAUCAGCUUGUUGGUGGGGUAAUGGCCUACCAAGGCGUCGACGGGUAGCCGGCCUGAGAGGGUGUACGGCCACAUUGGGACUGAGAUACGGCCCAGACUCCUACGGGAGGCAGCAGUGGGGAAUAUUGCACAAUGGGCGCAAGCCUGAUGCAGCGACGCCGCGUGGGGGAUGACGGCCUUCGGGUUGUAAACUCCUUUCGCUAGGGACGAAGCGUUAUGCGACGGUACCUGGAGAAGAAGCACCGGCUAACUACGUG
rnacentral:rRNA from 1 species